AUUGAACGCUGGCGGCAUGCCUUACACAUGCAAGUCGAACGGCAGCACGGGAGCUUGCUCCUGGUGGCGAGUGGCGAACGGGUGAGUAAAGCAUCGGAACGUGCCCUGAAGUGGGGGAUAACGUAGCGAAAGUUACGCUAAUACCGCAUAUUCUGUGAGCAGGAAAGCAGGGGAUCGCAAGACCUUGUGCUUUAGGAGCGGCCGAUGUCGGAUUAGCUAGUUGGUGAGGUAAAGGCUCACCAAGGCGACGAUCCGUAGCGGGUCUGAGAGGAUGAUCCGCCACACUGGGACUGAGACACGGCCCAGACUCCCACGGGAGGCAGCAGUGGGGAAUUUUGGACAAUGGGCGCAAGCCUGAUCCAGCCAUGCCGCGUGAGUGAAGAAGGCC
rnacentral:rRNA from 1 species